rnacentral:lncRNA from 1 species
GGAGGUGGCCGAGUCCGAUUUGAGUCCCAUGUCCUCUGGACUGCAAGUUGAGACUCCCGGUCCCAGGAGGGACAGCAAGGCCUCCUUCACCUUCACAGGCCAUCUGACAACCUGCGCAGCUGUUUAAAGAGCAAACCGCGCAUGAGUUAGGCCACUUGGCCCUCCCUUUCAGACCCCUCAGGCCGCCUGUGGACAGCCUGACUCACCCUCUAAGGGCCUUCCUGCCCGCCCUGGGAACACACACCGCACGGUCCAGGGACUGGCGUCAGGGGCAGAGCGAACUCAGCGCCACCUGGGCUCCAGGCCUGGCUCUGCUCCAGGACUGGGACAAGCCCCACCCCUCCCGGAUUCCCAUCCCUGAAGCCAGGGACACUGGGGUGUAUAGCGAACCACUUCUGAGGACAUAUGCAGCUAAGGACUGUUCCUGUGAUGUCUCCUAGUACAUGAACAGGAAUGAAACCCACUAUGUCCUCCACGUGAACUAUAUACUGAGCACGGGUCCAGAUGGGAAACCAUUCUCCUAUCCUGCAGAAAUGGAAUAUACUUUUGAGGAUGUUGAACUUCCCCAGGCCAUUGGCACCUGUGACAGUGAGAACCUAUACUUGGCCAUCCCAGCAACCGACCUGCUCUCCUGUUGGGAGCUCUACAUGGGACACCAGCACCUGAGCCCUAGGCCAGGACCCCUUGACAUAGUCCUCAUGACAGAUAACUCUACCCAUCUGCUAUUGGUAGUGUGACUCUUUUUUCCAGGGGCGCUGUAUGAGGGGGUCCCCCGAGGACUUAAGCUGGUUGAUGGGCUAAGGAGUGUGGAGAGAAGUUGUGCAGCCACUGUCCUGGGCCAUCAAUCACAAGGAAGUGUCACAUCAGACACAAGGAAGUACCUGGAUGCUGAAGGCUGAUCCCAGGCCAGGGGUGCAGGCUUGAGCGAUCCCUGUCCAGUGUUCUCAGGGAGCAGAAUGUAUGGUGUCUAACACAGUCUACAACAGCAUUUGUGAGGAAUGGCCUGUGUUUGGGUGCAUGUCAUGCCAUUAGAAUCCCUAGAACUAGAAAGAAGUGGCUUCCAGAUCCCAGGCCCCCUGGGCGACUUUCAGCAUCCUGGGCCCCACAGGCCUGAGCUGCCAGAUCUGCCCCCAUGGCAAGGACUGCGUGGCAUCUGUUUCUAAUGAAACUGAACCCAGCUGUGGGGUGGGUCCCAGGAUCUCUCUCUCCAGAGGAUAUGCACCCAGCUUGGGUGGCCCGCAAAGAAGACUGACAUGCUAGAGACUCCAGAAACUUUCUCCAUGGAUUUACCCCACUGGAAGAGAAUAGGCUUCCAACAAGACUCUUCAGUCUUGGUAUGCCAAGGCUGGACAAUAAAGAGAAUCAGACCCCAAUCUGAGCCCCAUUUACCCAUUCUGUAAUUUUCACAGAACUUCCCCAGGCCAUUGGCACCUGUGACAGUGAGAACCUAUACUUGGCCAUCAAAGUAACGGACCUGCUCUCCUGUUGGGAGCUCUACAUGGGACACCAGCUGCCAUGCAUUUAUCCCUCUUCAGACCUCACUGGUGAGAAGCCAGACUUCUGGGUCCCCAUGAUGCUUUGUCCCACCUCCCAACCCUGCUGAUCCCAGUCUAGAACCAUAGCACCGCCCCCAUCCUGCAUGAAGAAGGCCUUAUGCAUCUGCCUUGGUGAGAUCUUUCUGGGCUCACUGGUCUCUACCCUCUGGGGAGAUGAUCGAGACCAGCUCACACUGCUGUGUGUCACAUCCAUACCUUCUACGGGAAAACUAACCCCCCUUGCCUCCUAUGUGAAGUCUCAGGCUUCAGAGCCCAUUUCAAAUGCUGUUUCUCCUAUAACCCCAUAGCCUACCAACCAGAGGAUCUCCUUUCUGGUUCUUCCUUCUCCCGCAACUUUUUCCUUUUGAACUCUCGUAAUCAGAGCCAUAAUCAUAUUCUGCCUUCCACUAGUUACUUGUCCUUGACUGUUUAUUUUCCCUUCUGAGCUGACUUUCUUGAAGGCAGGGCCCCCAGCCUGAUCACCAUACCUCACAUGGUAGUAUCCAGGUUUUGCCUUCCGCCCCUCAAAUAAUACAUAUAAAAAUGAACGAAGUUCAAAAUUUAUCCACAACCUACUUGAUGGCCU